UACAUACUCCCUCCGUUCCGAAUUACUCGUCCAAGAAAUGAAUGUAUCUAGAUGUAUUUUAGUUGUAGAUACAUCCAUUUUUGUGACAAGUAGUUCCGAACGGAGGGAGUACUAC
rfam:Triticum aestivum genome assembly, contig: Triticum_aestivum_CS42_TGACv1_scaffold_355245_4DL